GACAGAGGGUGCGAACGUUGUUCGGAAUUACUGGGCGUAAAGCGCACGUAGGCGGCUUCUUAAGUCAGGGGUGAAAUCCCGGAGCUCAACUCCAGAACUGCCUUUGAUACUGAGGAGCUUGAGUCCGGGAGAGGUGAGUGGAACUGCGAGUGUGGAGGUGAAAUUCGUAGAUAUUCGCAAGAACACCAGUGGCGAAGGCGGCUCACUGGCCCGGUACUGACGCUGAGGCACGAAAGCGUGGGGAGCAAACAGGAUUGAGA
rnacentral:rRNA from 1 species